UCGCGACCAAUUUGAUGGAUG
rnacentral:piRNA from 1 species